rnacentral:lncRNA from 1 species
GUAAAUUUAAAUGCAGUCCAGAGUAGUGAAGGCCGUUUGUAAGGUCUGCUGAGCUAAUGGAUUCAUAAUGACUUUUAAAGCUUCACUCGGUACAUCCUAUGUGCCAGACACUGCGAUAGGUUCUGGAGAUAACAACAGUGUCCAAGAAACAACAGUGUCCAAGAAACAGGACUUUCCCUCAAAGAGCUUACUGGGGAAGCCAGCAAGACCAGCAGACAAACACAGCUGCACUGGGGGAGAGCCUGCUGAAGCUGCUUGAAUCUCAACACUGUCAUACCCGCCAUCUCAUUAUCUACAGCCACAUCUAAAACCCACAUGAAAUACCAAGUCACACGCGGCUCUGGGAAAGACAUUUUACAGAGACCAUCUUAUGAGUUUUUAAUCUGCCUCCUGAGAACUUACAAUCUAAGAAAUAGAAAACUGAUUCCAGUAAGCAUGCCCAGAAUAUGCUAGCAGCAAGAUUAAAACAUGAAACUAUGAAUGUUAAGAUAUUCAUAUGUAUUCUUGGGCAAGAUUUCUUUCCCUGGGCUAGAUGUCCCAAGGACCACACUCCUCUGUCCCUUUCAAAGAAAAGACAGACCUCACUGGGAAGUCCUGGAUUGUGUCCACUGCUGCUGUCACCGGAGUCUGACCCCAGCCCUGCCCAUCUCCAGGGAUCGCAGAACCUGCCAGCCAACUUCCUUUGAGUCAGCCGGUCAGGGCUGCAUCUUAGAAGCCAAGCUGCUUUGGUGUGAUUUCUGAAGUCUGUGCAUUUGCCUUAACUGUCAGGCCACUGGCUUCCCUGAGACUGGCUUCUGCCGUUUGCUCCCUGACAGUGAUAGUGAUAGCAGGACAGACUAACAGUCGGAGCACCCUGUGCAUCUCUUUCCAAGGAAUCCAUCCAUGGCAGGGACUGUGGAGCGCUCUCAAAGACAGCCACUUUGCAGGCAUUUAGUAGGACAUGGGCUCACCUCUUGCCUCCUCUUCUGCCUUUCCUUCCAGCUCCUUGCCCUUUACAAUAGCUGAAGAUUUUUUUAAGUGGAGCUGCUGAUAAUUAAAAUUAUAUCUUUUUUCCACCAAUGUCUGAAACUCUGGGAAGUCAUUAUCAGAGUCAGACAGUGAUAUUUUGAUAUCCCAGGAUCUUUUUGAUAUAAGGAAUAAAGUUCUAAGGCAUGAGAAGAUAGAGAGCCAUGCUAUUUCCUAAUCACCCUUUAUAAUUUGCAGUAUCUUGGGACGCUUCUCAGAUGUUUCCACUGUGGCUUAUGUACACUUCAAACCCAUGUGCCAUUAAAUGCAGAAGCUAGGUACUGAAUUAAUAAAGGUAGCUUCAAAAGCCCACCUCUUUGGCAGGCUGAAGAUCUAAGGGCAAACUCAAAGAGGGUGAUGGGCCUUUGAAAAUUACUAAGCACAAACAAUAAACCUCAUUAAAUAAAGGCAGCAGAGUGGGCUCAGAAAUGUAAUGAACCAAGCGGGGGACCAACAGCACUGGAAUCAGCCUGGGAAUUAACAUAUCAGGGAGCUGAGGCUCAGGUUGAAAGAAGGGAUUGUGUUUUGGAAAAUCAUGUGACUCCUAUUGAAACAAUGCUGAGGACAGUGGUUGGGAGGAUGCUGGGGCAGCGCUGGGCACAGGCAGGCCGCUGUGGUGCUGGGACUGGGGGACGCUCAUGUUUGCAGUCGUCUACUCUCUCACUCACCCUAGUGGCUUCAGUAGAGUCUACAGAAGGCAGAGUAUUUGGGCAGGGCCUGUAAAGAAAGAGAAAAGCUGAUAGAAGCUGCUUGGCCAUCGAAAUGAACUCCUUUUGCCAGGAUGUGCAGCCACGGGACUCCCACAGCACCCCUCCAGGUGCCUUCUGUCCACAGCCAGGGAGCAGAAAACUGGAGGGAUUUGGUCACCAUUAAAUGGCAAAGUGCUUGAUGAGAUCCUGUUGAAAAUUGAGCAGCAGAUUGGACAAUUAGAGUGCCAGACCAGCACGUGGAGUUUUCAGAAAUAGAUGGGAGUUGCUGGAUAAUAGGUCACAUUAGGCCACCACAGGAGCACGCAGGACUGCUCAGUCUCUGAGCCCCAAGCUCUUCCCUCUAGACUCUGGCAUGGCCAGUACAAGCCCUUUCUCGGCUAUUGUUGCUGGUCAGGGCUGACUGUCUUAGGUAUGAGGCACUCUCGGAAGGCUGCUCAGGAAGAAGACCCUUUCUCUUUCAUGAACCUGCCGGGAGCCAGAAACCAUUCUCCUCCCACUUUCACCCCUCAGCUCUAUCCCCACCUCCCCAAUAAUUUUAUCUUCAUUUUAACUCAAGAAUUUAACUACAGAGAUUGCACUGACCCAUCCCCCUAGAAUGAAAGGACACAAGAUCCUCCACCAGAUAGUUAUUUGUGAUUGUGGCUGGGGGUUUAUUUAAACUAAUUUUAUUAUUCAUGACACUGACAAUUUAUGCAGUGAAUGCAAUUAGAGGCUAUGAUUGGCUGCCACAGCUAAGGGCUAAAAGUGCCACUUCCUUGGAUAUGCAAGGAAGAAAGGCGAAGAAUGUUAGAAAAAUAAUCAGUCACGGAGAUAUUUUUUAUGAAGUGAUUCCCACAAACCUUGAUUUUUAAAAAAAGCUAAUUUAAUUUCCCUAACACCCUGCAAAAGAUAUCUAAUUAUCCACUCUUAAAUUGCUCUCAUAAUUUUUCCAAAGUUCUCUAUUGUUUAUGCCUUUGUGAGUUCUCCUUGUCUACAAGCAAAGAAGCUGUCGUCUCAAUGUGCAGGUUCCAAUAAAACGUACUGAAACUGAUUCUUCCCGAAGCUGUGCAUAGAAGCCCUGAUGUGGCCUGUAAUAUAUUUGUCCAUUUAACCAGGAAAUAUUUGAGAAACAAGACUUGAGUGGUAAUCAUUUAGAGUUCUGGGAGGAGAAGAGGGAAUUGACUUUUUUUCUUCUCCUUUUUUUUUCCAAGAAGAACAAUUUUUAAAAAAUCAUUGGACAUCAAACCAAAACAAAUCAUGGUGCCUCCACACAAUGGGAUAUUCCUCAGCAGUAGAAAGGAAUGGACUACUGAUCACGCAGUAAUGAUGACGAAUGUCAAUGUAAUUAUGCCAAGUGAAAGAAGCCAGCCAAAAGGUUCAUAUUAUGUGAUUUUAUUUAUAUGAAGUAUUUUUUAAAAAGGCAAACUAGUCUUUCAAGACAAAAAGCAGAUCCCUGGGUACU